GGUUCCGUAGUGUAGUGGUUACGUUCGCUUCACACGCGAAAGGCUCCGUUCGAUCCCGGGCGGAACCA